rnacentral:rRNA from 1 species
UGCAGAAUCCCGCGAACCAUCGAGUCUUUGAACGCAAGUUGCGCCCGAGGCCACUCGGCCGAGGGCACGCCUGCCUGGGCGUCACGCCAAAACACGCUCCCAACCCCCCUCAUCGGGAAUCGGGAAGCGGCAUCUGGUCCCUCGUCUCGCAAGGGGCGGUGGACCGAAGAUCGGGCUGCCGGCGUACCGCGCCGGACACAGCGCAUGGUGGGCGUCCUCGCUUUAUCAACGCAGUGCAUCCGACGCGCAGCCGGCAUGCUGGCCUCAAAACGACCCAGCAAACGAAGCGCACGUCGCUUCGACCGCGACCCCAGGUCAGGCGGGACUACCCGCUGAGUUUAAGCAUAUAAAUAAGCGGAGGAGAAGAAACUUACAAGGAUUCCCCUAGUAACGGCGAGCGAACCGGGAGCAGCCCAGCUUGAGAAUCGGGCGGCUGUGCCGUCCGA